AAAUAAAAUAAAAACUUACAGUUUUAAAACACAAACAUACAAUUUAAAACUAGAUCCUGCUGGAGUUGAAAGUCAAGUAAAGUAGAUGGGUUUUAAGAUGAGCUUUAAAAGUGCACAGUGAAGGGGCCUCUCUGACCUGCAAAGGCAAGUCGUUCCAUAAUUUUGGGCCCAUGACAGAGAAAGCCCUGUCCCCUCUGAGCUUCCUUCUUGAUCUCGGUACCUCCAAAAGCAGCUGAUCUGCGGACCUGAGAGACCGAUAAGGUAUGUAUGGGUGAAGAAGCUCAGAGAGGUAAGCCGGGGCAAGAUUAUGUAGUGAUUUAAAAACAAACAUAAGAAUUUUAAAAUGAAUCCUAAAA